AGCAGCCGCGGUAAUUCCAGCUCCAAUAGCGUAUAUUAAAGUUGUUGCAGUUAAAAAGCUCGUAGUUGAAUUUCGGGGUCAGUGAGUUGGUCGUGCCACUGGUAUGCACUGGCUUUACUGAUUCCUCCUUCUUGAAGAACUGUAAUGCUAUUAAUUUAGUGUUGCAGGGAAACAGGACUGUUACUUUGAAAAAUUAGAGUGUUUAAAGCAGGCUAACGCUUGAAUACAUUAGCAUGGAAUAAUGAAAUAGGACGUUUGAUCCUAUUUUGUUGGUUUCUAGGAUUGACGUAAUGAUUAAUAGGGAUAGUUGGGGGCAUUAGUAUUCAAUUGUCAGAGGUGAAAUUCUUGGAUUUAUUGAAGACUGACUACUGCGAAAGCAUUUGCCAAGGAUGUUUUCAUUAAUCAAGAACGAAAGUUAGGGGAUCGAAGACGAUCAGAUACCGUCGUAGUCUUAACCAUAAACUAUGCCGACUAGGGGUCGGACGAUGUUAACUUUUCUUGUACUCGUUCGGCGCCUUAC
rnacentral:rRNA from 1 species